CACGGUACACUCCCCCCGUGGCGCUCUCUCUCUCUCCGCUUUGCCUAGAUGUCACUCUCCCUCUCUCCAUCACUUUCUCCCGCCGUGCCUCUCUCUCUCUCGAUGUGACUCUCUGGCUCACCGUCGCUCGUCGUUGCUGUGUCUGUCAACGUGUGUCUCUAUCUGUGGGCGUGGCUUUCUCUCUCACGGCAUCUGGAAUCGUCGUUGCUCUCUCUGUCGUCGUUAAUACUCGUUGUGGCUUUCUCUCUCUCGUCUCUGUCUCUCUCCGGUAUUUAGAGUCGUUGUUCCUCUCAUUCGAAGGUUCUGCAUUAAGCUCUAUCCGUAAGAAGCUUGAUAAACUCCGAAGCUUGACACAGAAAACCUGCGAAAAUGAGUUGGGUUCGACUGAACAUCUUCAUGGGAGGUGAGUUCGAUGAAUCAGAAGGCAGAGCAUAUUACAUGGGUGGGCUCGAACCAAUAUAAGGUAUGGUUGAUGUUGAUAAGAUAUCAUGGUUCUUCGAAGAAUAUAUUAGGUUUCUUAAACUAGGAACUAAUAUCAAGGAGUUGUGGUAUAAAAUGUCGACUGAAUCGUUGGAUAAUCGGAGGGUAGUGCGAGAAGAAUUCAGGAAUAGUGACAUUGAGAAUAUGAUUUGUUUUGCAAGAGAAUGUGGCGAGUUAGAUGUUUAUGUGGAGCAUCAAUUAUCACAACCAUUUUAUGGAGAUAGACUUGUUGAUGUUAAUGUUGAAGAGGAGCAGUCUCGAGAUAUGAAUGUUGAUGCAGAGGAAUAUAGAGAGCAGAUCUAUGUUGGAGAUUUAGGUGGAUAUAAUAGUGAUGAAGAUGGUGAUUUUGCUGUUGAUUCUAGUUCUGAUGGUAGAAUAAGUGACGAUGAUGAUUCAUGUUUAGGUGACACUCCUGGUAGUUCGGAUCAUGAUUUUGUAGAAGAAAUCCCAAUGAUAGCAUGUUUAGAAUCUGAUGUUGUGUUUGAUGAAGUGGAUGAUGAUGUUUCGAUGAGUAUUUGGAUAGUGAUUGUUAUAUCCCUCUUACGCCAGAAGGUAGUGAUGAAGAAUGUCAAAAAGUUGAUCAGCCUAGGAGAAAGCCAGUCGCAUUUCCAUCAGAUGAUUUGUUGCAUCUGGGAAAGACAUUCAGUUCGAGGGAGGAAUUUAAAAGGGCUUUAUUAGACUAUGCGCUGAAAAAACACUUCAAUGUGUAGAUGGAUAGGUGGGAAAGGACUAAAGUAGGUGCUAAAUGUUGUACGAAAGGUUGCCCUUGGAGGGUAUACUGUUCGGUUGAAAACUCCAUCAAUAAAUGGAUGGUAAAGAUUUACAAGGAUGGUCACAACCAUGAUUCCGAUACAUAUAUUAAUUUGUUCACCAUGAGACAAAUUGCGAAGGAAUAUGCAGAGAGGUUUAGGAGAGAACCAGAUUGGAAAGCUGAAAAGUUGCAUAUUGCAAUUCUAGAAGAUCAUGGUGUGACUGUCCCAAUCAGUUAGUAUUUUAAGGCUAGGCGUAUGGCGUUGAAAAUGGUCAUGGAAGAUACCUCUAUUCAGAUUGCUAAUUUUUUGGACUAUGAGUUAGAAUUGCAUAGGUCGAACCCGAAUACAACAACCGAGGUCACGACAAAAAUAGUUAAGACGGGUAACAAAGUCUUUCACAGUUUCUACCUUAGUUUUGAAGUACUGCGGGACACAUGGAAAAACCAUUGUCGACGUGUAAUUGGUUUAGAUGGUUGCUUCUUGAAGUGGGAAAUGAAAGGGGAACUGUUAGUCGUUGUCGAAAGGGAUGCAAAUAAUGGAAUGUACCCUAUAGCAUGGGCUGUAGUUCGGGUGGAAAGUAUUGAAUCGUGGAACUGGUUCAUCCGAAAAUUGAAAUUAGAUUUGGGAUUAGGCGAUGGACGUAACUUGACAAUAUUGUCCAACAAACAAAAGUUAAUGUGUUCGUACUUAAUUUGUAGUUUACUUUGUUUAUAUAGCUUUUUCCCUAAUUAUAUAUGUUUUGAUAGGGAUUAUUGAAUGUUGUACAAAAGGAAUUACCAUUGGUCGAAAACCGAAUGUGUACUCGACAUGUCUUUGCCAAUUGGAAGAAACAUUUUAAGGAUCCAGAACUCAAAUUCCUCUUCUGGAAUGCUGCGAAGUCUUAUUUGGAAAGAGAAUAUGAAGGAUAUGUCCGGGACAUAAAACGCUACAAUCCAUUGGCAUAUGAUGCAUUUGUGAAGGCACAUCCGAAGAGGUGGUGCAAAGCUUUUUUUAAUCUAGAAUCGAAAUGACAUGACAUUCACAACAAUUUGUCUGAGAACUUCAAUUUUUCAAUCAAAGAAGCACGUUCAAGGCCGAUAAUCGAUAUGCUUGAAGAGAUUCGUCGGAAAGCAAUGAAACGGAUUUCCAGACGAUCACGUGAGGCAGCAAGAUGUAUUAUCGAGUUCUCCCCUAGGAUCAUGAAGAUUUUGGAGAAAUAUUGGGAAACACAAGAUUCUGCAACAUCAUUAAUAGCGUACAUGGGAAAUACGAGGUGGUUGAGUUUGGGAUUUCUUAUAGGGUCGAUUUGACUGCUAACACAUGUGGUUGUAGGAUAUGGAAGUUGAGAGGUAUACCUUGUCAACAUGCCCAAGCUGUGAUCAAAGUAACACAACAAAACAUUUGCCCCGUUUCUAUCUCAUUAUUAUCUUAGAACAAAAUGGCAAGCAAUAUAUGCUAAUAAUAUCAUGUCGGUUAAUGGUGAACCGUUGUAGCAGAGGUCGGAAAGAAUUCCAAUCGAAGUUCCAGAAAUUACAAGAAUGUCGGGUCGACCAAGACAACAUAAGCGAGUGAAAGAUCCACAUGAGUCUCCUUCAAAACCGGAACACAUAACCCGACACGGAAGAAUAGUCCGUUGUAGUGUUUGCAAACAAGUGGGACACAAUGCAAAGACGUACAAACAACCGAGAUUAUCAGGAGACGGAGCAUCGAGUAGCAAUGCAUCACGGUCAACGAGCAACGCACCACGGAAACGGAGUCAACAAGGACCACCGACAUCCAAUGAACCUCCAACCAAAAGUCUUAACUCCGCCGAAGGGAGUAUUAUUCCAACUCAAUCGAGUCAGACCGUACAAUCUGGGAUGCCUUUGAACAAUAGGCGUCAUCUUCUCCUCGGGAUGUCGUCUACCAAUAUCGGGAGUUCUACAUCUCGACAACAACCAUUCACUAUACCUAGGUAAGUGAAUUGUUCCAACAAUAGUAAUGCCAUGUAAGUUUGGCCUAUUAAAUAUGGCUAGCAAAUUGGCUCGGGGUUUAGGGUCUUAAUAUGAUUUCCACUUGCACCCCCUGAAUAUCUCUGGAACGACGUUUCAUGAUCAUCAAACUUAUACGGUUUGAUUUCU